GUAAUCCCUGUCCAACACAGUCGCAGCUGUCUCCCUGUCCAACACUGUCUCUCAGCUGUAUCCCUGUCCAACACUGUCUCAGCUGUAUCCCUGUCCAACACUGUCUCUCAGCUGUAUCUCUGUCCAACACUGUCUCCCUGUCCAACACUGUCUCCCUGUCCAACACUGUAUCCCUGUCCAACACUGUCUCCCUGUCCAACACUGUAUCCCUGUCCAACACUGUAUCCCUGUCCAACACUGUCUCAGCUGUAUCCCUGUCCAACACUGUAUCCCUGUCCAACACUGUCUCAGCUGUAUCCCUGUCCAACACUGUAUCCCUGUCCAACACUGUCUCAGCUGUAUCCCUGUCCAACACUGUCUCAGCUGUCUCACUGUCCAACACUGUCUCUCAGCUGUCUCCCUGUCCAACACUGUCUCAUCUGUAUCCCUGUCCAACACUGUCUCAGCUGUAUCCCUGUCCAACACUGUCUCAUCUGUAUCCCUGUCCAACACUGUCUCAGCUGUAUCCCUGUCCAACACUGUCUCAGCUGUCUCCCUGUCCAACACUGUCUCAGCUGUAUCCCUGUCCAACACCGUCUCCCUGUCCAACACUGUCUCAGCUGUCUCCCUGUCCAACACUGUCUCAGCUGUAUCCCUGUCCAACACUGUAUCCCUGUCCAACACAGUCCACACACACUCUCACCACACACACACACACACACACAACCACACACACACAACCACACACACACCCACACACACACACAACCACACACACACCCACACACACACACACACACACACACACACACACACACACACACACACACACACACACACACACACACACACACACACACACACAACCACACACACAACCACACACACACACACAACCACACACACACACACACACACACACACAUACACACCACACACACACACACUACACACACACACACACACUCAUAUCAUCAUCUCUCUCACCACAUCUCCUCUACUCUGAACAGAGAUGAUGUGUUGUGUUCUCACAGCAGUGUGUAG
rnacentral:lncRNA from 1 species